GACGAACGCUGGCGGCGUGCCUAAUACAUGCAAGUAGAACGCUGAAGAGAGGAGCUUGCUCUUCUUGGAUGAGUUGCGAACGGGUGAGUAACGCGUAGGUAACCUGCCUGGUAGCGGGGGAUAACUAUUGGAAACGAUAGCUAAUACCGCAUAAUAGUAGAUGUUGCAUGACAUUUGCUUAAAAGGUGCAAUUGCAUCACUACCAGAUGGACCUGCGUUGUAUUAGCUAGUUGGUGAGGUAACGGCUCACCAAGGCAACGAUACAUAGCCGACCUGAGAGGGUGAUCGGCCACACUGGGACUGAGACACGGCCCAGACUCCUACGGGAGGCAGCAGUAGGGAAUCUUCGGCAAUGGACGGAAGUCUGACCGAGCAACGCCGCGUGAGUGGAGAAGGUUUUCGGAUCGUAAAGCUCUGUUGUAAGGGAAGAACGAGUGUGAGAGUGGAAAGUUCACACUGUGACGGUAUCUUACCAGAAAGGGACGGCUAACUACGUGC
rnacentral:rRNA from 1 species